GCCAGUGUGCUGUAGAGGUUUGAGUGUUGGACUACGACUCUGGAGACCAGGGUUCGGAUCCCUGCUCGGCCG